CAAACCCAACUGACCAUAAGAACUUUGCUGCCUCCAACCAUCCACAUUUCGCUGCUAGUAUAGCCCCUACGAAGUUCCCGACCACCGACAAGUGCGACGACGGGUUCACCACCUACCGUAUGAUUCAAUGAUUAAACUUUAUUACAGGUUUUUAAACUUCAAGCUUUUGGAUUUGGUAGUAAUAAUUUUAGUAGGAUCCCGAAGCAUUCAUUUUUCAUUUGAAUUAGUAUUGAUAGCCAUUUCUUUGUUAAGUCGGGUGAUUUUACAAGUAACUUAGUGGUUAUCCUUAUUGGUUUUUAAGUUUAUUUCAAUAUGAUGCCUUCAAACUUUCAAAUUGUUUAUCUACUUUUAUUUUUAAGGGAAGUUGGUUAUUAUAUUUGGGUAUUUUCUGGAUGAGGGCAUAUGUUAUUUUAUUUGAGUUAUAAUAAUUUAUUUUUCGAAUGCAAAUUAUUAUGAGUUAUAAUAAUUAGGAAUUUCAACUCCAAGACCCUUCCACAUUGGGAACUCAAAAUUCUUCGAAAAUUUUUAAAUAUUAUGAUAGUACAAAUUUUUUUGUAUUAGUAUUAUUUAAAAAUGACAUAAAAUUAAUUAAUAAUAAAGUAAUACAUAAUUCAAUAACGUAUCAAGUUGUGAGGGAGAGUAAUUAUGGUAAUACUAGAAAUUUUUCCAAACCCCUAUAUGAAAACAAAAAACUAACUUUCUUCUUGCAUUUUUCUUUUUAACUAAAUUAUGAUGUAGAUAGGGUAGCCAUGCAAAGUGAAUAAGUUUUUUUUCCCUUAUUUUGAGAUGAUAUAGGAUCUCUGAAUCAAUAUUAGAUAAGCAUAACAUAUAGCUUUUGAGUUUAGUGGUAGUUUAAUUGAAACGCACCUUACAAAGGCGACGUUUUCCACCGGAUAGCCAUUGACCGUAAAUCUUAAGCUCGAGCAAGAAGUAUGGGCCCAUGAAGGCACACCAAACAGCAGGGUGAAGCGGCCCGGACACAAACCGGGGCGGGACGCUGAUGGCAAGGAACAUGCAGACGACCCAAGGAGCAAAGAAGAAGUUAACACGAACAGGGUGGAAAUACUCUCUUCUAACAGCUUCAAAGUAGAAGAUGCAUUUGAGAACGUAAGCAAAUGUAACUGAGCAAAGGGCAGCUGUGGCCAAGAGCCAAAUGGCAAGAUUGAUGAAUGGGGAAAUGUGAAGGAACUCCGUGGCGGGGCUCGUUGAGAGAGCCCGCCACAACACAGCCUGGCUGCUGAGACCGAGGCAGAUACCAUAGCAUCCGAUCGGGAAUCGGAGAAGGAAUGGCCAUUUUUCGUCUUUAGGGAGUAGAAUGUCUUCGUAGUCCUACAUGAAAAAUCAUACUUCGUCAAAAGUUUAAGCAUAUGUUACUACAUUAUUUCACCAUUCAAUCGAAAGCUUAAUUAGCAAUAACUAAUUACAACAAAACUUCCAUUUGUCAGGACUACAAUUAUGUGAAUAGAACACAUACUAAUUAUCAUUUAGUUUAACUACUAUUUGACAUCAUUGAUUGAGAUAGAGUUGAG
rnacentral:lncRNA from 1 species